AGAGUUUGAUCCUGGCUCAGAUUGAACGCUGGCGGCAUGCCUUACACAUGCAAGUCGAACGGCAGCACGGGUGCUUGCACCUGGUGGCGAGUGGCGAACGGGUGAGUAAUAUAUCGGAACGUACCCUAGAGUGGGGGAUAACGUAGCGAAAGUUACGCUAAUACCGCAUACGAUCUACGGAUGAAAGUGGGGGAUCGCAAGACCUCAUGCUCAUGGAGCGGCCGAUAUCUGAUUAGCUAGUUGGUGAGGUAAAAGCUCACCAAGGCUUCGAUCAGUAGCUGGUCUGAGAGGACGACCAGCCACACUGGAACUGAGACACGGUCCAGACUCCUACGGGAGGCAGCAGUGGGGAAUUUUGGACAAUGGGCGCAAGCCUGAUCCAGCAAUGCCGCGUGAGUGAAGAAGGCCUUCGGGUUGUAAAGCUCUUUUGUCAGGGAAGAAACGGAUUUCUCUAAUACAGAGAUCUAAUGACGGUACCUGAAGAAUAAGCACCGGCUAACUACGUGCCAGCAGCCGCGGUAAUACGUAGGGUGCAAGCGUUAAUCGGAAUUACUGGGCGUAAAGCGUGCGCAGGCGGUUGUGCAAGACAGAUGUGAAAUCCCCGGGUUCAACCUGGGAAUUGCAUUUGUGACUGCACGGCUAGAGUGUGUCAGAGGGGGGUAGAAUCCCACGUGUAGCAGUGAAAUGCGUAGAGAUGUGGAGGAAUACCGAUGGCGAAGGCAGCCCCCUGGGAUAACACUGACGCUCAUGCACGAAAGCGUGGGGAGCAAACAGGAUUAGAUACCCUGGUAGUCCACGCCCUAAACGAUGUCUACUAGUUGUCGGGUCUUAAUUGACUUGGUAACGCAGCUAACGCGUGAAGUAGACCGCCUGGGGAGUACGGUCGCAAGAUUAAAACUCAAAGGAAUUGACGGGGACCCGCACAAGCGGUGGAUGAUGUGGAUUAACUCGAUGCAACGCGAAAAACCUUACCUACCCUUGACAUGUCUGGAAUCCCUGAGAGAUUAGGGAGUGCUCGAAAGAGAAUCAGAACACAGGUGCUGCAUGGCUGUCGUCAGCUCGUGUCGUGAGAUGUUGGGUUAAGUCCCGCAACGAGCGCAACCCUUGUCAUUAGUUGCUACGAAAGGGCACUCUAAUGAGACUGCCGGUGACAAACCGGAGGAAGGUGGGGAUGACGUCAAGUCCUCAUGGCCCUUAUGGGUAGGGCUUCACACGUCAUACAAUGGUACAUACAGAGGGCCGCCAACCCGCGAGGGGGAGCUAAUCCCAGAAAGUGUAUCGUAGUCCGGAUUGGAGUCUGCAACUCGACUCCAUGAAGUUGGAAUCGCUAGUAAUCGCGGAUCAGCAUGUCGCGGUGAAUACGUUCCCGGGUCUUGUACACACCGCCCGUCACACCAUGGGAGCGGGUUUCACCAGAAGUGGGUAGCCUAACCGCAAGGAGGGCGCUCACCACGGUGGGAUUCGUGACUGGGGUGAAGUCGUAACAAGGUA
rnacentral:rRNA from 1 species